CUCAUUAUUCCCUCUUCGCUACCUCCUCUCUACAACCCCAUUCCAAAGCGACUGACCUUCAACAGAAUGUAUUUCUAUAAAGAUAAAAACAACGAAACUCCCAAGACGUCUAUAUUUGGAAUAUACAGGGAAAACUAGGUACCCUGUGGCCUAGCGAGAAGAUCGCAGAUGACAUGGGAGGCCUUCAUCUUCUGCAUCUGUCCGACCUUUUCAGCUCCUCUUCUGGUCACUCUGUCAAGGGGGCCUGGAACUCCUGAGAAGUGAAAGGACCAGCCCUAUCUCAGAUGGUGCGGGUUUCUUCGCCCUGACCUCUGCCAUGUUUGCUUGGAGCCCCAGAGCUCAUCCUUCAAGGCCUUUUUAAAAAUAGCACAGCCUCUGUCAAGCCUUCUUGAAAAAUUAAAUUUUUUAUUGUAA
rnacentral:lncRNA from 1 species